rnacentral:misc_RNA from 1 species
AAAGUCGUAACAAGGUCUCCGUUGGUGAACCAGCGGAGGGAUCAUUUACCGAGUUUUACAACUCCCAAACCCACUGUGAACAUACCAUAUCGUUGCUUCGGCGGGAUUGUCCCGGUGCCCAGCGCGCCGGAAUCAGGCCCCCUGCCGGAGGACCAUCAAACUCUUACUUUUUGGUGAAUUAUCUGAGUGGCCUCAAGGCGAAAACAAAUAAUUAAAA